AGAAUCAACGCUGGCGGCGUGCCUAACACAUGCAAGUCGCACGAGAAAGGGGCUUCGGCUCUGAGUAAAGUGGCGCACGGGUGAGUAACACGUGAAUUAUCUACCUCCGAGUGGGGAAUAACUGAGAGAAAUCUUAGCUAAUACCGCAUAACACUUACGGGUCAAAGCAGCAAUGCGCUUGGAGAGGAGUUCGCGGCCGAUUAGUUAGUUGGCGGGGUAAUGGCCCACCAAGACGAUGAUCGGUA
rnacentral:rRNA from 1 species